rnacentral:tRNA from 1 species
GGACAGGUGGCUGAGUGGUCUAAGGCAGCGGUCUUGAAAACCGCCGCUCCCGCAAGGGGGCCGUGAGUUCGAAUCUCACCCUGUCCG